UACAGAGGUCCCAAGCGUUGUUCGGAGUUACUGGGCGUAAAGGGUGUGUAGGCGGUUCUUUAAGUUUGGUGUGAAAUCUCCCGGCUCAACUGGGAGGGUGCGCCGAAUACUGAGGGACUAGAGUACGGGAGAGGAAAGUGGAAUUCCUGGUGUAGCGGUGAAAUGCGUAGAUAUCAGGAGGAACACCGGUGGUGUAGACGGCUUUCUGGACCGUAACUGACGCUGAGACACGAAAGCGUGGGUAGCAAACAGG
rnacentral:rRNA from 1 species